rnacentral:rRNA from 1 species
UACGACUACAUAUCAGGCAUAUCAAUAAGCGGAGGAAAAGAAACUAACAAGGAUUCCCCUAGUAACGGCGAGUGAAGCGGGAAGAGCUCAAAUUUGAAAUCUUAAAGGGUUUCCCUUUACGAAUUGUAGUUUAAAGAAGUGUUUUCUGUUGGAGUUUCGGUAAAAGUUCUUUGGAAUAGGACAUCAUAGAGGGUGAGAAUCCCGUAUUUGACCGUUACUUUCCAGCUGUGUGAUACACUUUCAAAGAGUCGGAUUGUUUGGGAAUGCAGUCCAAGAUGGGUGGUAAAUUUCAUCUAAAGCUAAAUAUUGGCGAGAGACCGAUAGCGAACAAGUACCGUGAGGGAAAGAUGAAAAGAACUUUGAAAAGAGAGUUAAACAGUACGUGAAAUUGUCAAAAGGGAAGCGUUUGACAUCAGUGUUGUUUAGUUGAAAAUCAAUUCAAUAGUUUUUGAUUCUAAGUAGUAUUGACUUCAUCAGCUUGCUGCUUUCUUCUCAGAAAUUAUUGAAUGCACUUUUCAGUUAACAAGUCAACAUCAAUUUCUUUUGUUGUAAAAGGGUAAGAGGAAGGUGGCUUGCGCUUCGGCUCAAGUGUUUAUAGCCUUUUAUCUCUGCAAUCGGAGAGAUUGAGGUCUGCAGCGUAGAUCCUUCGGGGUUAGAUACAUUGGUGCUAAGCUAUAGCCUUGUAUAGACAACUUGUUGACUAUGCUCAGUCAUGUAGCUUACUCGCUGAUGCUAUUUUACCUACGCUUAGGAUGUUGAGUAGCGACAUACGCAC